rnacentral:pre_miRNA from 1 species
GUUUUACUCCCUCCGUCCCAAAAUUCUUGUCUUAGAUUUGUCUAAAUACGGAUGUAUCAAGUCACAUUUUAGUAUUAGAUACAUCCGUAUCUAGACAAAUCUAAGACAAGAAUUUUGGGACAGAGGGAGUACUUG